rnacentral:rRNA from 1 species
UACGGGGGGGGCAAGCGUUGUUCGGAAUUACUGGGCGUAAAGAGCGCGCAGGCGGUCGUGCAAGUCGCGUGUGAAAGCCCCCGGCUCAACUGGGGAGGGUCACGCGAUACUGCUCGACUCGAAGGCAGGAGAGGGAAGUGGAAUUCCCGGUGUAGUGGUGAAAUGCGUAGAUAUCGGGAGGAACACCAGUGGCGAAGGCGGCUUCCUGGCCUGUUCUUGACGCUGAGGCGCGAAAGCUAGGGUAGCAAACGGG